UACGUAGGUGGAAAGCGUUAUCCGGAAUUAAUGGGCGUAAAGCGCACGCAGGUGGCUAUCUAAGAUUGACGUGAAAGCUUCUGGCUUAACUGGAAGAGGUCGUUGAUGACUGGAUGGCUUGAGACGAGGAGAGGGGAGCAGAAUUCACGGUGUAGUGGUGGAAUGCGUAGAUAUCGUGAGGAAUACCAGUGGCGAAGGCGGCACCCUGGCCUUAGUCUGACGCUCAGGUGCGAAAGCGUGGGGAGCAAACGGG
rnacentral:rRNA from 1 species